UUUCCUGCAGAAGGAUCCGAGUGUCCUGCGUGAUUCUUGCCGGCGAGAACAUAUAGCGCGCGGGACAAAACAUGGACAAAUCAAUUCGAAAGAUCUAUUGACAAAGGAUACAAGUUGUGACAUAAUUAAAACUUGGGAAAGAUUCAGAAGAUGGGAUACAUCAAUUUUUGCUACCAUUUACAAUGGAAAACUCUUAAGCAAUUGUUGAAUGCAAGACAGAUUAUUUUUAGCCUCCCAAAAGCUUUCCAUGCAGCUGACAAUCCUUGCAGAUUUCUCCGGGGAUUCACUAAAAGAUCACAGUGUUCAGCAUGAGUUAUCCCACUCCAGGUCGUCCUUGUAAUCCCAGGCAGACCAACACAACAAGAAAGGCAUUUUGUGGAAGGUUGUCUUCCGGGAUUCUUGUAGGAUUUGGCUUUGUUUGCAGGUAAAUCGAUAUCUACAUAAAAUAUAAGAGUUAGGAGAGUUUAGAAAGAUAACAACAGACAAUCAAUGGAUGAAGUUCACUUGUGUUUCUGAAAAUCAGGAAAGAGCUAGAAAACAAAACUUUUAAAAAUGUGACCUACAACAUCAUCAAAGUUAAUUAUCUACACAUAAUUUCUACUAAAGGCAUAUGAAAUCUUUAUGGGGAAAAUUGCAAAGCUUAAUUAGGGACCAAGAAGAAACUGAAAUGAAUUGCCACUAUUCGUGGAUCAAAAGACUCUAAUGCAAAGAUUAAUUUUCUUAAAAACUAGUUUAUGGGCUCCACGCCACCUCAAAACACAUGUUCAGUGAAAUCUCAAGAAUAAAUCUAAUAGAUGCACUUGUGGACCACAAAUAUUGGUUCCUAAAAUUUGUGCAAAAAGACAAACUCUAAAUUUAACACUUGUAUGCAAAAUGUAAACGCUAUGGUUAGGCAAGCCAUUCUGAGAGAAUUCUAGGAUGGGUACAUUCCUCUGAGUGGAUGGGAAGGUAUUUCCCAAAGCUCUGGUGUAAUUGUGGGAAGGCAUGAGCAGAACUUAUAGUUGAUAGUGAGCGUGUUAGGGCAGAGAUCUCAUCAACAUUUGCUUCUAUAUAUGGAUCUUAUUGUAUAACGUGUGAAGGAUGGUGGGAAAGAGAAGCUUCUCAGUCAGGGUGUGGGAGUUACUGGAUGCCCAGAGUGAGUCAAGUGAAACUGAGCCUCUAUAAUUUCACCUCAUACACAGAAAUGAAAUCUAGUUAGAUACAAGUAGAAAUAGAAAGUUCAGAAUGAUUGAAUUUUAUAUGAUAAUAGAGAUCACCCCCCUUCAUUGCUUUUGUGAAAGGAAGGGUUUCUUGUAAAUUAAAGUCCCCAAAAUCUCAUAAAGGAAAAUGUAGAAAAAUUCAACUACAUUGCAAUUGAGUUUCACUAAAAGAAUAAAAGCAAUGAAAAUAUAUGCAAAGUAUGGAGUGGAUGUUUUUCAAGUAUAGGACUGACAGGUAACUAAUAUUCAGAAUGUUUAGAAUUUCUGACAAAAGAGACACCUAAUGUUAAAAAACUGACAUGGUGGCACAAGCCUUUGACACAGCACUUAGGAAGCAGAGGCAUGCAGACCUCUGUGACUUCGAAGCCAGCCUAGUCUAUAUGUGAAGCUGUAGGACAGCCAGGAGAUCCCAUUUCCAAGGAAGAAGAAGGAAAAGGAGAAGAAAAGGGAUAGUUUCUCUCAAGAGUUUGUUACAUGAACUAAAACUGAUUAACAGAAUAAUUUAAGGUCUCACCAUCCCAAGAAUUGGCAAAGAAGCAGACUUGCAAGAACCAGCGUGUGUAUGGUAUGAGAUUUAAACUGGUGUGACGACUUUGGGAGCUGUCUGAACACUGAGGUAAUGUUCAAGAUAGGCUCACCCCAUGACUCAGAAGUCUCAGUCUUUGGCACACACUAGACCACACACUGGAAUCCUCUCAGCAUAUUCAUUGAUAAGACUGACCAAAACUAGAAACAAAAAGACAAAAAAAGAUGAAGAAGAUGAUGAAGAUGAAAGUUUGAUUUCACACAGAAAUGAAAUGGGAUGAAUAAAAGUCACUUGCAAUCUGGCUGCAUCUUAUGGACAAAUUAAAAAAAUAGCUGGGCGGUAGUGGUGCACACCCUUAGUCCUUGAAAGGCAGAGGCAAACAGAUCUCUGAGUUCAAGGCUAGCCUGGUCUACACAGGACAGCCAGGGCUACACAGAGAAACAAAAACAAAAACAAAAAAGGAAUGAAAAUAGUAUAGAUAGUAAAACUAUAAACAAAAGUCAGAAAUUAUUAUCAUAGAAGUUGGAACAGUAGUGACUUCUAAUGGAGAGGUGGGGUGAGUUAGGACCACUGCUGGAGUGGGUGAUGCUGCAGUGAUCUCUAAUGGAGAGGUGGGGUAGGUUAGGGCCACUGCUCAGGAGUGAUGCUGAGCAAGUUUCUAUCUUUUCACCUUCAUGGUACAUGGGUGUACAUUUUUAGCCAUUGACUAUAAAUGCACGUCCAUUUUAAUGCAUGGAUGACAUUUGCAAUUAAAAUGUGUAUUUCUGUGACUAUGAGAGACAGAAAGACAGAGAUUGAUUGUCGGCUGGAUUCACUUGGUACCAAUAAACUUACUCACCAGAGCAAGGAUUUGCUUAGAAAAAUGGGUUGAAGAAGAGAAAAUAUGCACUCAGUUAUAAGAAGAUAAGUCUUUCUAAAUAGUUCAAACUUAGACAAGGAUUUCGAUACUGCAGCACGAUUGCACUGAAGCAUGUUCACCCAGCAACUGCCUUGUACUGCUGCAUUCUUGCUGAAGCCUCAUGGGUCCAUAGUGACUCUUAAAACAACAACCUUCCUGUUUUCUCUGAGAAGCAGGAGACUCCAGGAUGAAAUAUUUCUGGAAUUUUCUUCUUGCUGAAUGUUCCUGCAUUACAGAGAAGAGAAUGGCUCUUAUCUCCUCACUUGGCAUCUUUCUAUGUCUUUAACAUAGAAAGUGAAAAGCACUAAAGUGAAAGGGAAUGGUAGUCUAACUUUGCUUUGUGUUUGUAGAUGUUAGAAAUAUGCACUUCCCUACACUGCUUCAGGCAUAUGAUCUUGGCUUUGUCCUGCAUAGUUACAAGACAAGCAGUAAUUUUACAGCUAUAUAUAUUCUAACUGUAAAUAGUACUGAGUUAUUUGAGGAACUUUUAAACUCCUCCAAAGCAAGCAAAAAUAAAACUUAAAAUUACUGCUGAGAAAACGUGUGUGCGCGUGCACACACACACACACACACACACACACACACACACACAGAGAGAGAGAGAGAGAGAGAGAGAGAGAGAGAGAGAGAGAGAGAGAGAGAGAGAAUUAUUUCCUUUAACAGGAACAAACACAACUCUACAGUCCUAGUCAGGCAAAAAAGUUCUGUAUGUUCUGGGAGCAUCGUGACAGUGAAUAUUCAAGUAAAAGGAAGUUAAGGAACUUGAGGAGCCUUUCUGGGAAGAAUCUGCAGCUGAGCCCAUAAAUAGAGUAAAUGCAUGCCUUCUGGUCAUGACAUGGCUAAUUUAGAACAACUGUCUAAUCCUCCUGAAGACAAACAUAUUCGAUUGCAGCAAUUGGGUUUAAAUAUGAGGAAUAGGUGAAAUUAGGCAAGAAGAAAUAGAGACUGUGAAAAAAUAUACCUGAGAUGAUUAUACGAUAAAACAAUAUUUUAGGAAACGAAUAAUUUCAUAAAGGCAUUUUAAACUUUUGUUAAGUGUGUUCUUUGGCAAUUUCAUGAAUAUGGAAUGUUCAUUCUGAUGGUUAUGAAUACCUCUAAGAUUCUCAAUGCCCUGCUGAAGCUUCCUCCUGCCCAUACUAUCUCUCUCCUCUGUACAAGUCCUCUUCCCACAUCCAUGACAUUUUCCUUGUUGUUUUGUUGUUAUUUUUGUUUUGAAGCCCACUGAGUUAAACCAAGAUCACCCGUGUGACCAUGGGCUUGCACUGUCCACAGAGGCCUGAUCCGCUCCCCAGUGAGUAUACAACUGAAGACCAUGACACUCCAGAAUCACCAGGAGCCUGUAGUUCACCAGAAAGUGGGUAACUUUUGGUGCUGAGAUGCUGAGCUCUGGUAAGGGCUGUGCCUUCACUGUGGGGUGUGGGUCACACGAUGCCAGGUCAGUAGUUCAGUUCUCUAAUUUAUAUUCCUGAGAUGGAGUCAAGUGAAUUAAACUCAAGAGGACAGGAGAGACACAGUAGCACAUGCUGGGCCUGAUUUUUCUGUACCAUAGCAUUGAGAACUCUUAAAAGUUCGGUGACACAUCGUUGCACAAUAUAGAAUGAGACUUUCAGACUUUAUAGAUUGGGGGUUGGGGUGUUCUUUUUCAUCUGGAGACUAGGGUUGGUGAAAUAUAUCUUCUUGCCAUUGUUGUUGGAAAGAUCAAAUAAGUAAUGAGUUGUGAAAAUACACAGUAAAUCACAGACAAACUAUGAGUCUGCUGUUGAUUGCACCCUGUUUUCCCAGCAUCCUUUGUUGUGGACACAGUUCUAACCUUGUUGUUGGAGCAUGUGGCCCUAUAAUCAUCAGUGGUAGGAGGCACAGUGGGAGAUGAAGAAGCUAAAUAGGAAAAUACGAGUGGCCUGGUUCACACACUUUGCUAACCACACCCUCCGUUAGAUUCAUAACUGGGAAAGUGUUCUGAACAUCAUUGUGUGGGAACAGAAAUGUUUCUAAGCAGUCUUUCCAUCAGCUCUGAGUUCUCUCACUGUGGCUUUUAAAAUUAAGAUACAGGGCUAGUACGAAGGAGGACUCUUACUCUGAAACAAUCACCUUUUUUAUAGUAUAGCACCGAUGUGUAUUGAGUCCCAGGUGAGUUGAGUACUGUGCAACUUGGUUUAUUUAGUAUUUCUAGAGACCAGCAGGACUGAAUAGGUCUUCCAGAUAGUAAUAUUUUGUAAAACAUAAUGUAUCUUUGAAUGGAGUGUGGAUACGACUGUCUAGAGAGAGACACUCUCUAGGCCUUUCCAGGGCAGAAAACACAUCUUCCGUUGCUGUAAAAGGCUGCUGAUAUGAACACAUAAAAAGGUGAGCACAAGGUCACAGUUGAAGGGGAUUUUUCAUUUCCCUUUUUGAGACUUUCCAGGCUAAGGAGAGGAAUCUUUGAAGCUGAGGAACAUUAAUAUAUGCAUAGGCACUUUGCAGAACUGCAACCAAGGGUGACCAGACUAACUUGUCUUACCACCAAAGGGCUCCAAGGGAACACUUGAGUUGGGAUACAUCUUUGUUGUGGGGAAAUUAUCCUGCUCAUUGUAGGAUGCUUAGCAGAAUCCUGGCCUCUACUCACAGAUGCCAGAACUGUUCCACAAACAGUGAUGACACAAACUGUCUGCAGACUUUGCUGAACAAUCCUUGAAAGACAACUCUGCUUUGGGUUAAAAAGCACUGCACAAAAGUCACUCAUUUAAUUUACUGCUCCAAAAUGUUCCAUCUGCUUUUGAAAGGGCACGGAUAUGAAGGAAUGUGGUAAUAUUUGAUGGCCCUUGAUAAUUUAUAAAAUAUUUCUGUAUUCAAUCCUGAUAGGGGAGUAGCUUGCCACGCUCUCUUCAUGCUGGAUGCACAUUGGCACACUUGAAGGCCGGUUCAACCACUUUGCCAGAUAGGAAGAAGCUAUCUGCUCCCACUCUUGUGGCCCUGAAGAACUGCCAAAGACUCUCUCUCUCUCUCUCUCCCCCACCGUCUUCAUGACUCUUUCAAGGUUCUGUAACUAGAAUUCAGUAUAGCGAGUUGUUUUUCCACUGAUAAGAUUCCAUAACCAACUUUCAUAAAC
ensembl:lncRNA